GCCCCAGUAGUAUAACCUAUUACCUUGGUCUUGUAAACCAAAGAUGAAGCUUCAACGCUUCCUAGGACA
rnacentral:tRNA from 1 species